GGGUCAAGUGAUGAGGAAUAAACCAUCAACAAUAUGAUGGAGCUCUUCUCCUCUGAUUCUUAGGAUGUAAGUCCCUGAUGGUACC
rnacentral:snoRNA from 1 species